CAAUGUGGGUGGGGCUGACUGGUGCAAAGUCCAGCUCUAUUGUCCAGCAGCUAGAGCUAGAGAUGAAUUGGCCUUCCUUCCUACUGAGAAGCUAUGUCCUGCAAGGACUAAGAGCUACAGGCUCCACACUGAAGACAUGUUCAUUAUCAUCACGCCUGUACUCUAUCAAAGCCCAUUCCUCCCUAACCCCCACAGUGGUGUACGCCCACUCCCUACCCCCCACUGUCCAAUCAGUGUCUCUGUUCAGUACGUCAUCUCAACCUCCCACUACUCAAUCCACUGACACUGAAGAUGAUGAAGAGACAAGGUCCAGGGAGCUGAAGAGAUUAAGGAUAGCCCUGAUUGUAGGACCUGCCUGGUUUGUGCUGCUCAUGUAUUUGUGCUUCUUCAGAGAGGAGAAGGAAGGAGGAAUAAUCGACUACUUGAAUCAAGACAUAAGACACAACAAACGAUUGCCUCCAGAUGUACAGCAAAAGGCUAAAGAACUCUAUGGCAACUCUGAUAAAUAAAGACAGCAUUGUACAGACCUAUUAUUUAUGUGGUAUCGUAUAGCGGGAAAUGUUUGAGCUAUAGAAGAAAUUUUGUGUUUCAA